UUCACAUAUUCCCUAUAAAUGAUUAAUUAGUUAAUAUAUUUGAUAUAAUUUCACUUUAAUUUCAAGAAUAAUAAAUAAUUUAGUUUCUACAAACACGACACUUUCAUGGAUCCGAGUGUUCAUCCGAGGCUCGUUGUUCACCCAGGUACCGAUGAUAGAUCAGUACUUUCUUUGUAAGACAAUCAUAGGUCUGAGUUAUUAUGGACUAGUGUUAUAGGGAUAGGGACUAGGCUCCGUCCCCGUAGGCGGCAGAGAGCAUAGACUCUUUUACGUGAGCGCCCCUACCCUCACGUCUUAUAAAUAUUGAUUAGAGGCGGUAUUUAUCGUUCUGUGUCCGUUGGUCGGGUACAACAUAAUUGGGUGCUCAUUGUGUCCAUGAUUAAGCGUUGGAGGAUAGGGACACAUACCUUCCAUCUACACACUGGUGAGGCUACGAUUACACUUCAGGAUGUGGAGGUCUUGUUUGGAUUGUAGGCAGAUGGAGAGCCAUUAUAUAGUCAGUAUGAGCCUCCUCCUGGUAGGACAUGGGGGUCGGAGUUGACUCGGCUCACUCACUUCGUACCUGGUGUCACGGCCCAUAUCUCAGGAUAGAGUCAGAUGCAGAUUAGUGCACUCGGCACUUAUUUGCUGGUAGAGUCUCCUAUUAAUGACGGCACUCCUCAGGACGUUGUUGAUCGUCAUGCCCGUUUAUAUGUGCUCAUUAUAUUCGGGGACAUCUUGUUACUGAACACAUUGGGUGCCUAUGUCAGCUUACGAUAUUUGAUCUUCUUGGAGCAUAUUGGACCGUUUGGGAGACUACAGCUGGGGCAGAGCUGUUUUGGCGUAAAUCUACUGAUGCCUAUGCCGAGCAUCUAUUGGACAUAUCAGCGAUGUGUGUGAAUUUUUUACUCUUCUCCAGUUAUGGGCGUGGGAGAGGAUGCUACCUUUUCAGCCCGUACCUAGGCAUCACCUCGGUAAUAACAUGUCCUACGCGAGGAGGUGGACAGCAGGGUUUGACCGAAUGUGGAUAUGCACCACAGUAUUCUUCCAUUCCAGGACCAGCUAUAUCAGAUGAUGGACGAUGCGCUAUUUAUAUGGAUGUCAUAUGCUGCUAUUUUGGAUGAGUUGCCGGCCUUUUACAGGGCUGGUCAGGCCGUGUGGUGGUCGCGGUGUCCAUUGAUAUACCUAGACAUUGUUGAGGACCACAUGCCCUAGCACGUCUUACGACAGUUUAGGCAUACACAAAAUAUGUCCCCCUACGUUCGUCAUGAGCUCCGACACUACCAGCGGAACGAUCAAGCGACCAUCGAUGAUGCAUUUCUGACUUUAAUGGGUGUCCAGCUCCAGCGUUGGCAGGACAGGUUGGGGACUUUAGCGGAGGUCGAUCAUGCGACUCCUAUCAUGGAUCGCAUGCACUGGUAUAAUGGGAUUACACGUCAAUUGAUUGGCAAACCCAGUUUUACGUCCCACAAGGGAUGUAGGAUUCGCAGCACUUGCGGGGCAGUACGAGCCGUUGAUGGUGACCGCACAAUGAGUCCGCAUAUUAGGGUUAGAGCAUAUGUCUAACCCCGGGGUUGCUGGGCAUUCUGCGGAGAUGGUACAGAUAUCCGAGGACGGUAUCCAGCAGGCAAGAGAGAUUAGGCGCAUGGAUGAUCAGCAUCAGGCGACGCGAAGAGGAGGACGUGGUGCUGUUAGUGAACGUCGUGUUACUAGAGGACGUGGUGCUGCUAGAGGACAUGGUGGUGGAGGACACAAUCUAUUAGAUAAGGAAGAUGAGGCCACUCCCAUUCCAGAGGCCGCUCCCAUUCCAGUCCGUCUGCAGCCGUUCCUGGCCAGUGGCAGCUCAACUGUACCAUCACCUAUGUUUAUGCCGACGCGUACUUGCGGAGAUACUUGGGUCUUCAUCUCAAUCGAGUCAGAAUACGUACAUCGAGGAACGUGAUGGCAUCGAUUGGCAGCGUUUCGUGCAUCAUUAGAUGAUGAGCCACUGGAGAGAAAUUUAGACGGUCCCCGGAUUCUUGACUUCUAUAACUUUUUAAUCUCAGAUUCGGCACCAGUGGGUCCACCAGAGUGACUCACUCAAGCGUUUUCGCAUGGGCCUGCCGAGCCACAGAUGUCCUCUCAUGAGGUUGUUGAGCCACAGCACACCACUCCAGCUUCCGAUCGUACCAGCGAGACUAGAUCCCAAGAAGAAGCACAUUAUGCAAAAGGCCGCAAAGGCGAUGGAUGAUCAUGGCUUAGAGCGCCCUCUUAUUAAGAGAAAAAAAGGGAAUGGAGAUGAUGGUGAGGGCGGUGGGGAUAGUAUGAGCCUUAGGCCUAAGGAUAGUCUCAGGCAUACUACAUGUGGGACCCAUCCACGAUAAUGUAUAUACA